CGAGUCGCGAGACUUAGAAUCUCGGCGUACCGCUCAGUAACACGUGGGUAACCUGCCCUAUGCUAGGGGAUAACCUCGGGAAACUGAGAAUAAUACCCUAUAGUUCACCACGCCUGGAACGGUGGGUGGAUGAAAGCUCCGGCGGCAUAGGAUGGGCCUGCGGCGUAUCAGGUUGUAGGGGGUGUAAUGUACCCUCUAGCCAUCUACGCGUACGGGUGUUGGGAGACAUCGCCCGGAGAUGGAUUCUGAGACACGAAUCCAGACCCUACGGGGUGCAGCAGGCGCGAAAACUUGGCAAUGCGAGAAAUCGUGACCAGGGAACUCCAAGUGCAUCGGGUAAGACCGAUGCUUUUCUUGACUCUUCAAAGGUCUUGGAAUAAGGGGUGGGUAAGGACGGUGCCAGCCGCCGCGGUAAUACCGGCGCCUCAAGUGGUAGUCGCUUUUAUUGGGCCUAAAACGUCCGUAGCCGGUUUGGUACAUUCGUGGGUAAAUCAAGGCGCUCAACGUCUUGAAUUCUGCGAGCACGGCCAGACUUGGGACCGGGUGAGGUGUGGGGUACUCUCAGGGUAGGGGUAAAAUCCUGUCAUCCUGAGAGGACCACCUGUUGCGAAGGCGCCACACUAGAACGGAUCCGACGGUCAGGGACGAAGCCUAGGGGCACGAACCGGAUUAGAUACCCGGGUAGUCCUAGGUGUAAACGCUGUGGACUUGAUGUUGGGAGUGCUCCGAGCACCCUCAGUGUC
rnacentral:rRNA from 1 species